GCAGAAUUCAGUGAAUCAUCGAUAUCUUUGAACGCACCUUGCGCCCUUUGGCUAUUCCGAAGGGGAUGCCUGUUUGAGUAUCAUG
rnacentral:rRNA from 1 species